AUCCCGCCCUUAUUAAAUUCCUAUUAUCACUUCAAAGUUAAUUAACUACUCACAACACAAGGAAAUAUUACACACAGGGAUUCUUGUAAGGACCCUCUCUCUCUCUCUCUCUCUCUCUCUCUCUCUCUCUCUCUCUCUCUCUCUCUCUCUCUCUCUCUCUCUCUCUCUCUCUCUCUCU